AACGAACGCUGGCGGCAGGCCUAACACAUGCAAGUCGAACGCCGUAGCAAUACGGAGUGGCAGACGGGUGAGUAACACGUGGGAACAUGCCCUUUGGUUCGGAAUAACUCAGGGAAACUUGAGCUAAUACCGGAUAAGCCCGAGAGGGGAAAGAUUUAUCGCCGAAGGAUUGGCCCGCGUCCGAUUAGCUAGUUGGUGAGGUAAUGGCUCACCAAGGCGACGAUCGGUAGCUGGUCUGAGAGGAUGAUCAGCCACACUGGGACUGAGACACGGCCCAGACUCCUACGGGAGGCAGCAGUGGGGAAUAUUGGACAAUGGGCGCAAGCCUGAUCCAGCCAUGCCGCGCGAGUGAUGAAGGCCCUAGGGUUGUAAAGCUCUUUCGGCCCCGACGAAGCGUGAGUGACGGUAGGGGUGGAAGAAGCACCGGCCAACUACGUGCCAGCCGCCGCAGUAAAAC
rnacentral:rRNA from 1 species